CUCCUUCCAUGAAGGAAUUUUCCCAGUAUCCAACCUAAACCUCCCCUGUUGCAACUUGAGGCCAUUUCCUCUCAUCCUGUCCCUUGUUCCUUGGGAGCAGAGCCUGACACACCCCCCAUGGCUUCCCCCUUCUGUCAGAAAGUUGUAGAGAGUGAGAAGGUCCCCCCUGAGCCUCCUUUUCCCCAGGUUGAGCCCCCCCCAGUUCCAUCAGAGGCUCCUCUUCAGGCUUGUGCUCCAGACCCUUCUAGUAGUCAAGAGACAGAUGCAAUAACUUCAGGAACAGCAACAUGACAGGAACAAGUAAAGAAAAAAGUACCUUUUAAGUAAGCAAAAAGAAGAAAAAGAACACUACGGAAGAGAAAAAUGGUCUUGUCUGCAAUAAAACAUCCAGAUGAUGAGCACUGCUGAGGAGAGACUUCUAAUCCCCAACAGCUCUUAACACAAUAGACCUCAACCCCAGCUGAAGACUAGAUGCAAGACCGCCAAAAGUAAAUACUGUGGAUAUUUGUAGGGACUCGUAAAGCUCCUCUCAUGUUUCAGUUUUCAGUCUUCUCAUGUUACACAUUUUCAGACCACUCAUUGUGACCUACAGUCAGCAGAGAGCACAGACCUUUGCAAUGCAAGACUUUGAACUACAUCCUGCUGCACACGUUGGGUUUGAGCAGAAACAACUUGUUUCCCAAGGCAGAGUGGAAGCAUGGGAAGACACUCAAGAAAAUAUUCUUGGGAAGACACUCAAGAAAAUAUU